AUACUUAUUUGGCAGGGGAGAUACCACGAUCACUAAGGUGUUUUUCCUAGGGCGAGGCUUAUCCGUUGUACUUCGUAUGUGCUGACUCCUGCGAUUUCUCCAAAUGUGGGAAACUUGACUGUAUAAUUUGUGGUAGUGGGGGACUACAUUCGCUCUUUCCCCUG
rnacentral:snRNA from 1 species